AAAGAAAAAAAAAGAAAGAAACCAUAUUGGAAGACGAAAUAAAUCCCGCUAAUCACUGCCUAUAUAAAGAGUUAGAAGAGUGGCCAAAACAUAUAGCUAGGCCUACUCUUGACUAACAAACUUUAACAGCAAAAAAAUAAAUACCAAAAACCUACCAUAACAUUCAUAAAACACUACAAUACUUACUCAAUCAACACACAACAGCAACAACAACUUACCCAAAAAACUACGAUAAAAUUAAUUAAGUCUGGGCUACAAAAUAAUUCAAAUGAAGGAAAAUGAAAGAAAAUUGGACACUGCGUUGCUGUUGAUGUAUUUCCGAAAGGAGAAACAGUAUACUUGAAACACCAAACUAUCAAUCAAUUAAUCAAUCAGCCAAUAAAAUAGAGAAAAGAAUACAACAUCCACUAAUUAUUAACUACAUUUGAAGGUUAGUGUAUUUUAAUUAACAUUUUGAAAACAGUGACGGGAAAGGAAAAUUGCAUGCGUUUUUUAUACAGUACUAUACAGCUUUUACACUAAUCCUCCCUUCACUAAGUUUUUCUACGAUACAGUCAUCUAUUGGUUCGAGUGUUUUAAUUAACAUUCUGAAAAGUGUGACGGGAAAAGGGAAUUGCAUGCUUUUUUAUACAAUACUAUACAGCUUUUACACUAAUCCUCCCUUCACUAAGUUUUUCUACGAUACAGUCAUCUAUUGGUUCGAGUGUUUUAAUUAACAUUCUAAAAACAGUGACGGGAAAAGGGAAAUUGCAUGCGUUUUUUUAUAAAGUACUAUACAGCUUUUACACUAAUCCUCCCUUCAUUAAGUUUUUCUACUAAACAUUCAUCUUUUGGUUAGUGUCUUUUUAAUUAACAUUCUCAAAAAAAUGAUAGAACAGGGAAAUUGCAUGCGAGUAUAUCCAUUUAUAAUAUUGAUUUUACACUAAUGUCUUUUUUAUCACACUUUCAUCUUUUGGUUCGUGUAUUUUAAUUAACAUUCUAAAAAAAGUGACAGAACAGGGAAAUUGCAUACGAGUAAAUCCAUUUCCAAUAUUGAUUUUACCUGCAACAAGAAACUUUCAAUCAAUCAAUCAAUCUCCAAUGUCCCUUUUAUCAAGUCUUUCUAUCACACAUUCAUCUUUUGGUUCGAGUAUUUUAAUUAACAUCCUAAAAAAAGUGGCGGGAAAGUGAAAUUCCAUGUAUAUUAAUCUAUUUCUAUAUUGAUUCUACAUUAAUUCCCCUUUUAAGAAGUUUUCAAUUAUCACACUUUCUUUAUUCCAACAUUACUAUCUCUUUUCUUUUUUUCUAUUUGAAGUUAGUGUGAUUUUUUUAUAUAGAUUUUCCAUAUAUAUACUACACCCUUAUUUUUUUUUCCUAGAACCUUCUUUCCCUUCUUUUCUUUCCUUUUUAAACUACACCGGCUUUUGUUUUUCAGUUUUACGCUUAAACCAACAUCUACUUGCCUUCCUUUUCCUUUUAAACUACACUUCCUUUUUAAAGUUUUACGUUUUAACCAACAUCUACUUGCCUUCCUUUUCCUUUUAAACUACACUUCCUUUUUAAAGUUUUAUGUUUAAGCCAACAU